ensembl:lncRNA
AAAAAGGAGUAUGUAAUGGACUUGCUGGCUUUAAUGUAAAAAGCCUGUUGUGUAACUUUAAUGAGGCAGUUGGACUAAAACAGUAUUGCUCAUCAAGGUAAACAUCUGAGGAAUAAGGAAAUUGUUACUUGUCCUUUUACUCAGUGUUCUUUUAAUCGCACGUUUACUAAAGUUUUACAUCACAUAAGUCAUUUUCACAAUCAUUCUACUUUAAAAGAUUUCAAGACAGAGCUUAUUGUUCUCUGAACUUCCUUGUUUGCUGAACGGCAGGUUGAAGCAGAAUUUGCCCGUCUUACAUCUGUUGACCUGAAAGGGUUCCUUUUUGCUGUGCUUGACCAUUAUGGAGAGGUUCGUGGAGCUGUACAAAAUCAAGAGCGGCAUAGGAGGGCUAACUAGGCUCAUAAGAUGCUUCGGAGAUGAUAGCCCUACACAAAGGAAGAGGACAGAGGACCUCAUUUUCUAAAGGAAGAUCCCUCACACACUUUCAAGACUGUGAAGCCGACAGGUAUUGAAGACACGUUUUCUAAGAGGAUGAAAGUUGGCAUUGCGAUGGUGAAAGAAGAAGACAUCAUCGAUGUGUUGGUUGUCCUUGAGGCGGCAGUAAUCCUGUCUAAUCUGAGGGAUGUCUCA